AGUGAACGCUGGCGGUAGGCCUAACACAUGCAAGUCGAACGGCAGCACAGUAAGAGCUUGCUCUUACGGGUGGCGAGUGGCGGACGGGUGAGGAAUACAUCGGAAUCUACUUUUUCGUGGGGGAUAACGUAGGGAAACUUACGCUAAUACCGCAUACGACCUACGGGUGAAAGCAGGGGAUCUUCGGACCUUGCGCGAUUGAAUGAGCCGAUGUCGGAUUAGCUAGUUGGCGGGGUAAAGGCCCGCCAAGGCGACGAUCCGUAGCUGGUCUGAGAGGAUGAUCAGCCACACUGGAACUGAGACACGGUCCAGACUCCUACGGGAGGCAGCAGUGGGGAAUAUUGGACAAUGGGCGCAAGCCUGAUCCAGCCAUACCGCGUGGGUGAAGAAGGCCUUCGGGUUGUAAAGCCCUUUUGUUGGGAAAGAAAAGCAGCAGGUGAAUACCCCGCUGUUCUGACGGUACCCAAAGAAUAAGCACCGGCUAACUUCGUG
rnacentral:rRNA from 1 species